CAAAAGCUUGGUCCUGACUUUACUAUCAACUUUAAUUAAACUUACACAUGCAAGUAUCCGCAUCCCCGUGAAAACGCCCUACAGUUUUCUUAAUGAAAACAAGGAGAUGGUAUCAGGCACAACAAAUUUUUAGCCCAAAACACCAUGCCAAGCCACACCCCCAAGGGAAUUCAGCAGUGAUAAAUAUUAAGCCAUAAGUGAAAACUUGACUUAGUUAUAAUAAAUUAGAGCCGGCAAAACUCGUGCCAGCCGCCGCGGUUAUACGAGAGGCUCAAGUUAAUAGCCAUCGGCGUAAAGCGUGAUUAGAGAAUAAUUAAACUAAAGUGGAAUACUUUCAAAACUGUUAUACGUACCCGAAAGUAAGAAAAACUUCUACGAAGGUGACUUUAAAUUACUCGACCACACGAAAGUUAUGACACAAACUGGGAUUAGAUACCCCACUAUGCAUAACCUUAAACUAUAAUAAAAUAUUACAUUUUUAUUCGCCAGGGAACUACGAGCAUAAGCUUAAAACCCAAAGGACUUGGCGGUGCUUUAGACCCACCUAGAGGAGCCUGUUCUAUAACCGAUAACCCCCGUUAAACCUCACCUUUUCUUGUUAUUUCCGCCUAUAUACCGCCGUCGUCAGCUUACCCUGUGAAGGUACUUCAGUAAGCAAAAUCGAUUAUAUCCAAAACGCCAGGUCGAGGUGUAGCAUAUGAAAAGGAAAGAAAUGGGCUACAUUUUCUAAUAAAGAAAACAACGGAAAUUGCCAUGAAACAGUACAUUCAAGGAGGAUUUAGCAGUAAGCAGAGAAUAGAGAGCUCUACUGAAACUGGCCCUGAAGCGCGCACACACCGCCCGUCACUCUCCCUGAACCUUCAUCACCUUAUUUAUAAUAUUAAUAUUGGAUUAAAGGGAGGCAAGUCGUAACAUGGUAAGUGUACCGGAAGGUGUACUUGGUCAAAC
rnacentral:ncRNA from 1 species